rnacentral:rRNA from 1 species
UUGACGGGGCCGCACAAGCGGUGGAGCAUGUGGUUAAUUCGAUGCAACGCGAAGAACCUUACCUGGGCUUGACAUCCCUGGGAAUCCCCUGGAAACAGGGGAGUGCCCUUCGGGGAGCCAGGAGGCAGGUGCUGCAUGGCUGUCGUCAGCUCGUGUCGUGAGAUGUUGGGUUAAGUCCCGCAACGAGCGCAACCCUUACCCUUAGUUGCCAGCGGGUAAUGCCGGGCACUCUAAGGGGACCGCCCCGGAUAACGGGGAGGAAGGCGGGGAUGACGUCAAGUCAGCAUGGCCUUUAUGUCCAGGGCUACACACGUGCUACAAUGGGCGAUACAGAGGGAAGCAAGGCCGCAAGGUAGAGCUAAUCCCUAAAGUCGUCCUCAGUUCGGAUUGCAGGCUGCAACUCGCCUGCAUGAAGUCGGAAUCGCUAGUAAUCGCGGAUCAGCUACGCCGCGGUGAAUACGUUCUCGGGCCUU